rnacentral:lncRNA from 1 species
AAAAAUCUGCUUCACUAGUCACAUUUCCCAUUCUUUCUCCCCAAUUUCCCCAUUCGUGUGUUUCAAUUUGUUCUCCAGUAAAGAAAUUCUAAAUUUUCUUCUUUCUUUCUUACUCUUUCUUUCAUACUUUAUUGUUUUCUUUGGAUAUCUCUCUUGCUUUUCCCAAGCAAAGGUUGUUUUCAAUUUUGUUCUUAUUUAUCCUAUUUACUGAAACGAUGUUGCUCGUAACUUCUGUUAUUUGCAGUUCCUUUCUAGUUGUUUCGACCCUAUGCGUAUUCAUGUUUGGGCAAGGUUAUAAGUUCUGUUGGUUGUUAUGCUAUUUAAGGGUGUUUAAUUAUUUUAUUUGCUAAUGAAGUGUUUUUGGAAAUUAUUUGUGUGUUGUGAUGUGUUAGGAGAAGAUCGUGUGGCGAUUGGUUCUCCGACAAACUGAGUUCGUUUUAAGC